UACGGAGGGUGCUAGCGUUAAUCGGAUUUAUUGGGCGUAAAGGGCGCGUAGGCGGACAGAAAAGUCGGACGUGAAAUCCCAGGGCUUAACCCUGGAACAGCAUCCGAAACUUUCUAUCUAGAGGAUAGGCGGAGAAAACGGAAUUCCACAAGUAGCGGUGAAAUGCGUAGAUAUGUGGAAGAACACCGGUGGCGAAGGCGGUUUUCUAGCUUAUUCCUGACGCUAAAGCGCGAAAGCAAGGGGAUCAAACAGG
rnacentral:rRNA from 1 species